rnacentral:lncRNA from 1 species
UUUAGAAAUCAAGAGUGAUUUUUAAUCUCCUUAGAGGGCAAGUUGUUCUGAGUAAAUGUGGUGUGAGGGAGGAAGAACUGGGUUUGCUGCACUCCUCUGAUGUCUGUGCAAUGAACCCAAACACAGGUCUCAUGGGCCAGCAUUGAGGGGUGGCAGUGAAGUGGCAAAUACAGGUGAGUGGCAUCCUAAGUGCCAUGACUGCCCAGAGUGUUGUCUGUGAGGCCGCUGAGCAGGAACCCUGUCCAUCAGUGGUGCCUGAGAUGGUUUUUGAUCAUCCUGAGAAGAAUGAGCCUUGGCCUCCAGACCCAGUAAAACAGACAUCCAUGGAGAACAGUGUUCGUUCCUGAGGACCUGGAGGGCUUGCAGCCCAGGAGGAUUAGCUAGAAGCAGGUAAGGAACACCUGGAGGAGUGGGAUGUGGAAGCAGCAUGGGGUCCAUACUCUGUUUAGGAGGCACAGUGGAGUGCGCUGGUAAGAAGCCAUAGGGGCUCAAUGUAUGGCUACAGCUUUGCUGUUUUCUUUGUGUUUUUUAUUUAUUUAUUUUUCAGUCCCUAGUGUUGAUAGGUGAUUUGCCUAUUUCUAUAAACUAUAAGAUUUAAAUUUAUUCUGUAAUUCAAUCUACCUUUUUAAAGCACCUAUUCUGGCCAAACCCUGCAUUUGAUACCCAGCAGGUAGUGAUAUAGUGAUAUAGAUGGGUA